ACGCUGGCGGCAUGCCUAACACAUGCAAGUCGAACGAGAAAGCUUCUUCGGAAGUGAUUAAAGUGGCGCACGGGUGAGUAACGCGUAGACAAUCUGCCCUUCAGUCCGGGACAACUUUCCGAAAGGGGAGCUAAUACCGGAUAACAAUGUUUAACAUAAGUUUAAUAUUUGAAAGCUCCGGCGCUGAUGGAUGAGUCUGCGUCCCAUUAGCUUGUUGGUGCGGUAGUGGCGCACCAAGGCUACGAUGGGUAGCGGGUUUGAGAGGACGAUCCGCCACACUGGAACUGAGACACGGUCCAGACUCCUACGGGAGGCAGCAGUGGGGAAUAUUGCACAAUGGAGGAAACUCUGAUGCAGCAAUGUCGCGUGAGUGAAGAAGGCCCUUGGGUCGUAAAGCUCUUUUAUGGGGGAAGAUAAUGACGGUACCCCAGGAAUAAGCACCGGCUAACUACGUGCCAGCAGCCGCGGUAAUACGUAGGGUGCGAGCGUUGUUCGGAAUUACUGGGCGUAAAGGGCGCGCAGGCGGAGGUGUAAGUCGGAGGUGAAAGCCCGGGGCUCAACCCCGGAGGGUCUUUCGAAACUGCAUCUCUAGAGAGGGUCAGGGGCCGGCAGAAUUCCUGGUGUAGAGGUGAAAUUCGUAGAUAUCAGGAGGAAUACCGGUGGCGAAAGCGGCCGGCUGGGGCCACUCUGACGCUGAGGCGCGAAAGCGUGGGGAGCAAACAGGAUUAGAUACCCUGGUAGUCCACGCCGUAAACGAUGAGCACUGGACGUUCGGAGGGUUCGACCCUUCUGGGUGUUUCAGCUAACGCAUUAAGUGCUCCGCCUGGGGAGUACGGUC
rnacentral:rRNA from 1 species